UAAAACAUGGCUCUUUGAGCUAUUACUGAUAGAGAGUCUGACCUGCCCGGUGAAAUGAUUUUUAAACGGCCGCAGUACCCUGACUGUGCAAAGGUAGCACAAUCACUUGCCUUUUAAUUGGAGGCUAGUAUCAAAGGUUUGACGAGAGUAUUACUGUCUCUCUUUUAAAAUUAAAAUUUAUUUUUCAGGUUAAAAAACUUGAAUUUUAUUGUAGGACGAGAAGACCCUAUCGAGCUUUUAAUAAGAUAUUAAAUAAUAAUUAUCUUGCAAAAUAUAUGUUUAUAGUUUAGUUUUUAGUUGGGGCAACGGCGGGGCAAAAAAAACCCCCGUUUUAUAAAUUGAUUAAAAUGAUCCAACAUUGUUGAAGGAUGACUUAGUUACCGUAGGGAUAACAGCGUAAUUUUUUUGGAGAGAUCAUAUUGAUAAAGAAGAUUACGACCUCGAUGUUGGAUUAGGUAUUAUCUUAGGGCGUAGAGGCUUUAAAAUGAUUAGUCUGUUCGACUAUUAAAUUCCUACGUGAUCU
rnacentral:rRNA from 1 species